UAGUCAAGUCGAUAAAUCGAGUGCGGUGUAUAAAAAAAAUUGUACAAUUAAGAAUGCACAAUCAAUCAUAUACUCGCAUAUUUAUAAGAGCAUACAAUAUGCUAACCCAUAACACCAUUAUAACAUCAAAUACACUACUAUAACACCGUUACAACAUCAAAAACACUGCUAGUAUAUACAUAAAACACAACUUAGUGAGCCAACAUUGAUAUCUUUGAUCCACGACUCCUGUGAAAAAAACUCACUACAAGCUCAAAAGAUAACCGAACUAAUCAAUGCUCCAAAUUGCAGCGGCACUACAAUCCUCAACAACAGAAUCUUCAUUCUACAAAGUGCACCUAAAUAUCACACAAAUGCCUCAAAAACCACUCGAGGGAAUUAGGGUUUUGAAAGGUGGGUAUGAAGGGGCAGGGCCACAGGGGUUGAUGGUAAAAAGGCCCGCAAAUGCUUCAAAAAAACUUCAACAUGUCAUGUUACAAGUAAUAAGCCUUAUGAAAUUUCUAAUAAACAUUCAAGCUUUUACAACAAAAUGUAUCAUCACUAUAAUAAAUAAUUUUUUUUAAUUUUUUUUGGCAUUUAUCACAUUAUCAUGCUGUUUAUGGUUAAUUUUUAAAAAUUAAUUUUCACAAGAUAAUUUUUAAAUUUCUUAAUUAACUAUCUAAACGUUUAGGUUAUAAAAAAAUACAUAAUAUGUCAUUCAUGUUUACUAUAUUUUCAAAUUUUAUUACGUUUCCUUCAAAAUCCAGAAUUCAAAAUUGAUAUUUUCUUUCAAUUUUCAUUGUCAUUUUAAACCAACACUAGUUUACAUAUGAAAAAUGAUCAAAAUAUUUUAUUGAUAAAACUAAAAAAGUAACGUAUGAAAAAUCAACAAAAUAUUUGAUCGAUAAAACUAAAAAAAUAAUUAAACCACAAAUAUGGUCAAAAUAUAAUUAUUUCUCCAUAGUUUUUUUUAUUAAUAUAAAUAUUUAUUUAUUCAUCAAUUUGUUUGAAUUUAUUUUGAAAACCCCUGGGGUUUUAAAGCUUGACCCUCUCGAUCUUGAUAUUUUUAGGAAAUUUAAGCUCAGAUAAAUGUAUUAAACUAAAUAGAACUGUGAAAAUCAAACGAAAAAUUAAAAUAGUUUUUGAGCGAUAUUGAAGGGUAUCUCUCAGACAAAUGCCUCGGUUGGUCUUCAUGAUGAAUGGAAUGGAUAUAUCAGACUCGUCAUCUAUGAAAUCAUCACUGAGAAACCCACAAUAAAUAUAAAUAAAUUAAAACUUCAGACAUCCAAGGAAGGAAAAAAGCAGCAUUAACUCUCAAGCCUGGCGAAGGCGAAAGUUCUUAGGCGGCCACUGCGAAUGUCUCUGAGAAACAAGCCUUUGGAUUAUCAUCAUCAGUUCCAUAAUCAAUUCUAACAAUAAAUAAAAUCAAAACUGCAAAUAACACUAAUUUGGAUUUUAAAGAAAAGCCAGAUCUCCCACCCAUAAAUGAUCAGCAACUUGUAAAACUAGUCAGACUAAUGAAAUCGCUGACAAAGUGAAGAGGGUGAAGUGAAUAUCAGGGGAUAUCAUUCCAUCCCUAAAGCAAUAGAGUAUUUGCAAAAGGGGCAGACGAUCCCCAAUUGAAAAAAUGAAAAAAUAAAGAAAACGAGAUAAAAUAGGAGUUCCCUGGCGAAGGCUAAAGCUCUAUCAGCGGCAACUGCUAAUGUUCAUGAGAAACAAGCCUUAAAUUUUUCAUCAUCGAUAACCAGCAACAGCUAAUCAGCUAUACAUUUUGAUAUGAACUAAAACAUAUGAAUGUUAUAAAAUCAAAGAAGUAAGCUUUGAAACAAUUGUUGAAAUAGGGAUCUAGGGUUUGGUGAGUGUGAUUUGAAGGUAACAAUAGUGGUGUUAUAUAGAUGAGGAAAUGCGAAUUAGGGUUUUUGACAUACCGACGGCAGCGAUCACUUGUUCCGUUUUUCUUUUUUUAUUUGAGUGGAUGGAAUUUUUGGGAAAACUUCAAAAAAAAGUAGUCACAAUAUAAGUGCGAAUCAUAUAAAACUUUUUUUGCCUUUUUUUU
rnacentral:lncRNA from 1 species